GUGCCGGCCAGCUGAGUGCCUUACUGACACACUGAGCCUUCCACGCCUCCUCCGCUCACCCCCCCAAACCCACACCUUCACUCCAUCACUCUCACCUCGCCGUCCGCUGUCUCACGAUUUAGGACGUGACUUACCUUACCAGGGGAUGGUGCCGCCCGUCAUGCCGCCAUUCUGCGCACCAACCGUGGCACAACAAUGGACGCAGAUUAAGGGCCGACGGAUACCUUGCUUCCUGAUCCUGAAAUUUUGCUUCACCAGGAUGUUACGUACAAAAAAAAGAUCUGUAACGCCUCCGUCAGUCUCUCCACCAGCUCUUCACGCGGGUGUUUCUGUUCUGCGCCAUUUGACCGCAAUGUUGCGACACCCUUCCUUUGUUUUUCUGAAUCAAUCAGUCAGUCAGUCCUCUCUGUUUUUGUUUCGUUUCAUUUUUGUAAUUUCAUAGAGGUGAGAAGCAGGAGGAGGAUUAAAAGAAAUAAGAGGAAGAUGAAGAAAAUUAUGGAGGAAAACAGUGGUGCAAGAUGAAGCUGUAAUGAUUUAAUUAAGACUCAUGUGAACGUUUCUGAGAUCAAAGGAGUUGGAUAAGGUCAAUAUUAGAUCCAAUGUCAGUUCCUGGUCUUAUUAUGGUUACGAUGGUCAUCUCAUGGAAGCAGCUGAAGCAGCGUUCAACAGAUUUGAUUCUUUGUUUAGGUCACUGCUUGUAGAUGAACACAGGAAAGUCUUGUAAGGUUGACAAUUUUUAUUUAUUACUUCAUAAUAGUUUUAUGUCUAGAAAGAGAAAUAAUGAUUGCACACCAAGUACAUCAACGCUUUGCACGGAACAAAUCACCAAUUAGGAGAAAGUAAGUUCGGUGUGUGUCAGGUAUGCGUCGGUCCGCAAGGGUUUGAUAGAAGAAUGAUGACAGGAGUUCUUUCUUUCGAAAAGCUUCAGGUUUGUAAAGUAUCGACUAAUGUUGUUUUAUGGCCCGACAGUCUCAGUUGUUCCAUGAACAGUUUCUGAUAAUGUGGGAAAAGUGAUCAAAAAGAUCGCUAUCAUCAUUUGCUGAUCAUUGUGCGAUAUUUUGAAAUUUAGCCUUAAAUUUUUAAGAGGCCUUAAUUUUACCAAUCUUCAAAAUCUAAUCCUUGCUCCAGUGUGCGCGGUACACAUCGAGGAUGGCAUGCAACACUUAGGCACUCUGCCAAACCACAAUAUAUCUCUAAGAUA